AGUAGGUGAGUGAUGGGGUGACGCAGGAAGGUAGUCCAGCCCGGGCGGUGGUUGUCCCGGGGUAAGGGUGUAGGACGUCAGGUAGGCAAAUCCGCCUGACACAUAGUCUGAGACCUGAUGCCGAGCCGAUUGUGGUGAAGUGGAUGAUCCUAUGCUGUCGAGAAAAGCCUCUAGCGAGUUUCAUGGCGGCCCGUACCCUAAACCGACUCAGGUGGUCAGGUAGAGAAUACCGAGGCGUUCGGGUGAACUAUGGUUAAGGAACUCGGCAAAAUGCCCCCGUAACUUCGGGAGAAGGGGGGCCACACUUGGUGAGGAGACUUGCUCUCCGAGCUGGGGGUGGCCGCAGAGACCAGCGAGAAGCGACUGUUUACUAAAAACACAGGUCCGUGCGAAGCCGUAAGGCGAUGUAUACGGACUGACGCCUGCCCGGUGCUGGAACGUUAAGGGGACCGGUUAGUCAAGAUUCGUCUUGGCGAAGCUGAGAACUUAAGCGCCAGUAAACGGCGGUGGUAACUAUAACCAUCCUAAGGUAGCGAAAUUCCUUGUCGGGUAAGUUCCGACCUGCACGAAUGGCGUAACGACUUCUCGACUGUCUCAACCAUAGGCCCGGUGAAAUUGCACUACGAGUAAAGAUGCUCGUUUCGCGCAGCAGGACGGAAAGACCCCGGGACCUUUACUACAGUUUGAUAUUGGUGUUCGGUUCGGCUUGUGUAGGAUAGGUGGGAGACUGUGAAGCUUGGACGCCAGUUCAGGUGGAGUCGUCGUUGAAAUACCACUCUGGUCGUGCUGGAUGUCUAACCUGGGUCCGUGAUCCGGAUCAGGGACAGUGUCUGAUGGGUAGUUUAACUGGGGCGGUUGCCUCCUAAAGGGUAACGGAGGCGCCCAAAGGUUCCCUCAGCCUGGUUGGCAAUCAGGUGUUGAGUGUAAGUGCACAAGGGAGCUUGACUGUGAGACCGACGGGUCGAGCAGGGACGAAAGUCGGGACUAGUGAUCCGGCGGUGGCUUGUGGAAGCGCCGUCGCUCAACGGAUAAAAGGUACCCCGGGGAUAACAGGCUGAUCUUCCCCAAGAGUCCAUAUCGACGGGAUGGUUUGGCACCUCGAUGUCGGCUCGUCGCAUCCUGGGGCUGGAGUCGGUCCCAAGGGUUGGGCUGUUCGCCCAUUAAAGCGGUACGCGAGCUGGGUUUAGAACGUCGUGAGACAGUUCGGUCCCUAUCCGCUGUGCGCGUAGGAGUCUUGAGAAGGGCUGUCCCUAGUACGAGAGGACCGGGACGGACGAACCUCUGGUGUGCCAGUUGUUCUGCCAAGGGCAUGGCUGGUUGGCUACGUUCGGGAGGGAUAACCGCUGAAAGCAUCUAAGCGGGAAGCCUGCUUCGAGAUGAGGACUCCCACCCACUUGAUGGGGUAAGGCUCCCAGUAGACGACUGGGUUGAUAGGCCGGAUCUGGAAGCACGGUAACGUGUGGAGGUGACCGGUACUAAUAGGCCGAGGGCUUGUCCUC
rnacentral:rRNA from 1 species